UACGAGGGGUGCAAACGUUGCUCGGAAUCAUUGGGCGUAAAGCGCACGUAGGCGGCCUGUUAAGUCGGAUGUGAAAUCCCGCGGCUCAACCGUGGAACUGCCUCAGAUACUGACGGUCUCGAGGGAGGUAGGGGCGAGCGGAACUGAUGGUGGAGCGGUGAAAUGCGUUGAUAUCAUCAGGAACUCCGGUGGCGAAGGCGGCUCGCUGGACCUCUUCUGACGCUGAGGCGCGAAAGCCAGGGGAGCAAACGGG
rnacentral:rRNA from 1 species